rnacentral:rRNA from 1 species
GACGAACGCUGGCGGCGUGCUUAACACAUGCAAGUCGAACGGAAAGGCCCUGCUUUUGUGGUGUGCUCGAGUGUCGAACGGGUGAGUAACACGUGAGUAACCUGCCCUUGACUUUGGGAUAACUUCAGGAAACUGGGGCUAAUACCGGAUAGGAGCUCCUGCUGCAUGGUGGGGGUUGGAAAGUUUCGGCGGUUGGGGAUGGACUCGCGGCUUAUCAGCUUGUUGGUGGGGUAGUGGCUUACCAAGGCUUUGACGGGUAGCCGGCCUGAGAGGGUGACCGGACACAUUGGGACUGGGCUGCGGCACAGACUCGUACGGGAGGCAGCAGUGGGGAAUAUUGCACAAUGGGCGGAAGCCUGAUGCAGCAACGCCGCGUGCGGGAUGACGGCCUUCGGGUUGUAAACCGCUUUCGCCUGUGACGAAGCGUGAGUGACGGUAAUGGGUAAAGAAGCACCGGCUAACUACGUG